UAUUAUAACCCAAUGAUUAGAAAUGGCUUGGCGGGUUUUAAAGCUUCAAAUUUAAGCUAAACCCUCAACUUUGCAAAUGGUCUAAAGAAGCCAAAUGGGUUAUUAAACACGAAUAUGACUUUGUUUUUGGCUAACAAAAGGACAAUUGUGUGACUUUUGAAGCUUCUUGAGGGUGGUUGUUGAUUACACUUUCACAUUUCCCAUGUGAUCCACCAAUUAUGCUCCUUUUUUUAUCAUUCGUCAAUGGAAGUUUUAAAGUCUUCACUAUAACAAAGGGAAUAAAGCUAGUAGCAUGAGAGAUUUUUUUCUAGAGUGGGGUAUUCAAGCGGUGCUGCAUCAAUGUGAUUAUCUCUUUUAUCACGUGAAUUCAUAUGUAUUAUUUGAAAUCAUAUCAAUAUAGGAAUUAUUUGUGAG
rnacentral:lncRNA from 1 species